rnacentral:rRNA from 1 species
GGGGAAUCUUGCGCAAUGGGCGAAAGCCUGACGCAGCGACGCCGCGUGGGGGAUGAAGGCCUUCGGGUUGUAAACCCCUGUCAGGCGGAACGAAUCCCCCGAGGACGAAUAAUCCUUGGGGUUGACGGUACCUCCAAAGGAAGCACCGGCUAACUCUGUGCCAGCAGCCGCGGUCAUACAGAGGGUGCUAGCGUUGUCCGGAAUUACUGGGCGUAAAGGGCGCGUAGGCGGCGCAUUAAGUCGGGGGUGAAAUCCUGCGGCUCAACCACAGGAUGGCCUUCGAGACUGGUGUGCUCGAGCACGGCAGAGGCUGGCGGAAUUCCCGGUGUAGCGGUGGAAUGCGUAGAGAUCGGGAAGAACACCAGUGGCGAAGGCGGCCAGCUGGGCCGUUGCUGACGCUGAGGCGCGACAGCGUGGGGAGCAA